CAGCAGCCGCGGUAAUGCGAAGGGGGCUAGCGUUGUUCGGAAUUACUGGGCGUAAAGCGCACGUAGGCGGAUAUUUAAGUCAGGGGUGAAAUCCCGCAGCUCAACUGCGGAACUGCCUUUGAUACUGGGUAUCUUGAGUAUGGAAGAGGUUAGUGGAAUUGCGAGUGUAGAGGUGAAAUUCGUAGAUAUUCGCAGGAACACCAGUGGCGAAGGCGGCUAACUGGUCCAUAACUGACGCUGAGGUGCGAAAGCGUGGGGAGCAAACAGGAUUAGAUACCCCAGUAGUCCCUGUCUCUUAUAA
rnacentral:rRNA from 1 species